CACCUUUUGGCUGUUGUGAAUAAGGCUGCUGUGAACACUGGUGUGCAGAUAUCUGUUUGGGUCCCUGCGUUCACUUCUUUUGGAAGAUAUAUGCAUAGGUGUGGAAUUGCCAGGGAGGUCGGCUGCCAUGCUUUCAGGACACUCUGGCAAUCCAUGAAGAGAGCCAUGAGGUGAGGACCUGAGGCCUGCUGUCGACAGCCGUAUGCGUGAGUCUUGGAAGAGAUCCUCCAGCAUCUGUCGAGCCUUCCAGUGAUGGCAGCCCUCGCUGGUGCCUUGAGCACUCUCUCACAAGUGGCCUUGAGUCAGAGGCAUCCUGCUAAGCCACUCCUGAAUUCCUGACCACAGACACUGAGAGGCCACGUGUGGGUGUUCCGGCAGGCCUGCUGAGCUCCCCACAGACAGCCAACAACUGUCAGCCAUGUGAGUGGAUGGUCCAGGACGUCCAGCCCAGCCAGACCUCCAGAUGACUCCAGCCCUAGCCGACAUGUGGCUGCAACAAGUAAGAGACGCUAUGCGAGAACCAUCCAGCUGAGCCUUCCUGGGGUCUAGACCCGUGAAUCAGAAGCUAAGUCAGUUUGUCACACAGCAGUAGCAACUUGAACAGGCAACUUUUGGAGGAAACCAAGCGAGGAGGGCUCGUAUGCUGUCUCUGACUGCGGCCUUUUUGCCCAUGAAAACAUCAGCCUUUAUGAGAGGUGCCCCAAAGGGGCUUUCCCACGCACUCCAGUUAUAAGGCAAACCCACCUCAAAGUGAAAAGUAUUAUGUACCACUACACAAAUACACGUCCCAUAAAGCAAAGUAGAAGUGAAAAUAAAAAUAACCAGAAGUGUGAGAGGUCAGUGAGGGUCAGGUUCUCUCUCUUGG
rnacentral:lncRNA from 1 species